CCCUCCUGGACAUCGUCAAAGACCCAGUGUCCAGAACACCUGCCUUAGUUUUUGAACAUGUGAACAACACAGACUUUAAGCAACUGUAUCAGACACUGACAGACUAUGACAUUCGCUUCUACAUGUAUGAGAUUCUGAAGGCUUUGGAUUUCUGUCACAGUAUGGGUAUUAUGCACAGAGAUGUCAAACCACACAACAUCAUGAUUGAUCAUGAGCACAGAAAGUUGCGUCUCAUUGACUGGGGACUGGCUGAAUU